CCUACGGGAGGCAGCAGUGAGGAAUAUUGGUCAAUGGGCGUAAGCCUGAACCAGCCAAGUCGCGUGAGGGAUGAAGGUUCUAUGGAUCGUAAACCUCUUUUAUAAGGGAAUAAAGUGUGGGACGUGUCCCUUUUUGUAUGUACCUUAUGCAUAAGGAUCGGCUAACUCCGUGCCAGCAGCCGCGGUAAUACGGAGGAUCCGAGCGUUAUCCGGAUUUAUUGGGUUUAAAGGGUGCGUAGGCGGCCUUUUAAGUCAGCGGUGAAAGUCUGUGGCUCAACCAUAGAAUUGCCGUUGAAACUGGGAGGCUUGAGUAUGUUUGAGGCAGGCGGAAGGCGUGGUGUAGCGGUGAAAUGCUUAGAUAUCACGCAGAACCCCGAUUGCGAAGGCAGCCUGCCGAGCCAUGACUGACGCUGAUGCACGAAAGCGUGGGGAUCAAACAGGAUUAGAUACCCUUGUAGUC
rnacentral:rRNA from 1 species